rnacentral:rRNA from 1 species
UACGUAGGGGGCUAGCGUUGUCCGGAAUCAUUGGGCGUAAAGCGCGCGUAGGCGGCCCGGUAAGUCCGCUGUGAAAGUCAAAGGCUCAACCUUUGAAUGUCAGCGGAUACUGCCGGGCUAGAGUCCGGAAGAGGCGAGUGGAACUCCUGGUGUAGCGGUGGAAUGCGCAGAUAUCAGGAAGAACACCAACGGCGAAGGCAGCUCGCUGGGACGGAACUGACGCUGAGACGCGAAAGCGUGGGGAGCGAACAGG